CCGGAGUUAUUAGCAAACGUUUGUUAUCGUUCUUACUCAUGAAAGCUUGGAAGGUCCCCAAAACCCCACAGCAGCCUCAAGGCGUGUGGCCAGCUUGCCGCUUCGCAGGGCCUAUUAUUUAGGGACUGUCUGCGGUGCCCUAUCACACAGUGAUGCCUCCCUACCUUCCCUGUCUGCUCACCUAGUCACUGUCUCCCCUGGGAGGUGGAAGGGCGUAUCAAAGAGAGAGAAAGCGUCAGUGGCUGUUUCUUCCCCUUCUGUUUCGGAGCAGGAUGCCCCAGUGUUAAAAUGAAGUUUUCACAGAAAGAUAUCCACAAAUCAGAAUCUCCAGCCCUGCAUAAUUCAACAGUUUGACUCAGUAAAUGUUUAUGGAAUUCCCGAAGGCAGAGCUGCUUGAUUUGGGAUCUAGGACCACCUACACCAUCUGAGAUGUUUCUUAAAAAGACAAACUCCUGGGACCUACUCCAGACCUACUGAAAAACAUCAUCUCCCAGGGGUGGAAGGAUGAAGAAAUUCAUAGAUCUAUACAAUGGAGUACUAUUCAGCAAUAAAAAGGAAAAACUACUGAUAGACACAACAUGAAUCUCAAAUGUAUUACGCAAAUGGAAAGACGCCAACCUCAAAAGACUAGACACUGAGAUGCAAUCACCAACGACCCUGAACCAGACCAAGCCUCACCACUAGAGCUACACCUAUGACCUCUGCCUUAUUUUUACCACUAAGAUCUCUGCAGGAGGAGUUUAGGCCUUAUUACCGUGACCCGCAGUGUGAGUAGAAGCAUGUUUUCCAAUUGAGCCUGCGCAAGAGAACACCCACCUCUCCCUUUUGAAUAUUCAUUCCCCAUUUGAAAUAAAUGUCCCUGCGUCCCUUGGUUCAGGGACGCCAGACUUCAGAAAUGAUUCCUCAUGGUCUCCUAUUUGCCACAAAUAUACUUUACUUUGUGAGACGACUACUUCUGGUGGAGACUGAUUUAACCCACC
rnacentral:lncRNA from 1 species